CCCUUAGAUGUUCUGGGCCGCACGCGUGCUACACUGAGUGGAUCAGCGGGUCAGGUUGCGCGAAAGUGUUUCCUAAUCUUUAAAUCCGCUCGUGAUGGGGAUUGACGGUUGCAAUUUUCCGUCAUGAACGAGGAAUACCUUGUAAGCGCGGGUCAUCAUCCCGCGCUGAAUACGUCCCUGCCCUUUGUACACACCGCCCGUCGCUCCUACCGAUUGAGUGGUCCGGUGAGGCUUUGGGAUCUGAGCGGAAAGAGCGUUUCGCUGUUUCUGCCCGGAAAACUCAGUCGAACCUUAUCAUUUAGAGGAAGGAGAAGUCUUAACA
rnacentral:rRNA from 1 species